GUUGCGAUCARCGAGYWUACAACCUUGACCGGAAGGUCUGGGUAAUCUUUGAAAUCGCAACGUGAUGGGGAUUGAUAAUCGCAAUUAUUUAUCAUCAACGAGGAAUUCCUAGUAAACGCAUGUCAUCAGCGUGCAUUGAUUACGUCCCUGCCCUUUGUACGCACCGCCCGUCGCUCCUACCGAUUGAAUGAUCCGGCGAAAUCUCGGGAUCGGGGCCUAAGCGGGGCAACCUGCUCUGGUUCUGAAAACUUGCUUAAACCWUAHYRYUUAGAGGAAGGAGAAGUCG
rnacentral:rRNA from 1 species